rnacentral:rRNA from 1 species
AGAGUUUGAUCCUGGCUCAGAACGAACGCUGGCGGCGUGCCUAACACAUGCAAGUCGAACGAGAAAGUUCCCUUCGGGGAGCGAGUACAGUGGCAGACGGGUGAGUAACACGUGGGUAACCUGCCCAAAGGUGGGGGAUAACUCUUCGAAAGAGGGGCUAAUACCGCAUGAUAUCGGAGGGGCUUCGGCUCUUCCGAUCAAAGCUUGCCUCUUCUUGAAAGCAAGCGCCAUUGGAGGGACCCGCGCCCCAUUAGCUUGUUGGUGAGGUAGCGGCUCACCAAGGCUACGAUGGGUAGCCGGCCUGAGAGGGUGAUCGGCCACACUGGAACUGAGACACGGUCCAGACUCCUACGGGAGGCAGCAGUGAGGAAUAUUGCGCAAUGGGCGAAAGCCUGACGCAGCGACGCCGCGUGAGGACGAAGGUCUCCGGAUCGUAAACUCCUGUCAAGAGGGACGAAUCCCGUACGGAUGAAUAAGCCGGACGGUUGACGGUACCUCUGGAGGAAGCCCCGGCUAACUCCGUGCCAGCAGCCGCGGUAAUACGGAGGGGGCCAGCGUUGUUCGGAAUUAUUGGGCGUAAAGGGCGCGUAGGCGGCUAGGCAAGUUGGGGGUGAAAGCCCUCGGCUCAACCGAGGAAUUGCCUCCAAAACUGCCUGGCUUGAGUCCCGGAGAGGGUAGUGGAAUUCCCAGUGUAGCGAUGAAAUGCGUAGAUACUGGGAGGAACACCGGUGGCGAAGGCGGCUACCUGGACGGGUACUGACGCUGAGGCGCGAAAGCGGGGGGAGCAAACAGGAUUAGAUACCCCGGUAGUCCUGGCCGUAAACGAUGGGUACUUGGUGUGUGGGGUGAGAAAGUCCUACGUGCCGGCGAUACUCGUUAAGUACCCCGCCUGGGGAGUACGAUCGCAGAUUGAACUCAAGAAUUGACGGGACCCGCACAAGCGGUGGAGCAUG